rnacentral:rRNA from 1 species
UAGGGAAUCUUCGGCAAUGGACGGAAGUCUGACCGAGCAACGCCGCGUGAGUGAAGAAGGUUUUCGGAUCGUAAAGCUCUGUUGUAAGAGAAGAACGAGUGUGAGAGUGGAAAGUUCACACUGUGACGGUAUCUUACCAGAAAGGGACGGCUAACUACGUGCCAGCAGCCGCGGUAAUACGUAGGUCCCGAGCGUUGUCCGGAUUUAUUGGGCGUAAAGCGAGCGCAGGCGGUUAGAUAAGUCCGAAGUUAAAGGCUGUGGCUUAACCAUAGUAGGCUUUGGAAACUGUUUAACUUGAGUGCAAGAGGGGAGAGUGGAAUUCCAUGUGUAGCGGUGAAAUGCAUAGAUAUAUGGAGGAACACCGGUGGCGAAAGCGGCUCUCUGGCUUGUAACUGACGCUGAGGCUCGAAAGCGUGGGGAGCAAACAGGAUUAGAUACCCUGGUAGUCCACGCUGUAAACGAUGAGUGCUAGGUGUUAGACCCUUUCCGGGGUUUAGUGCCGUAGCUAACGCAUUAAGCACUCCGCCUGGGGAGUACGACCGCAAGGUUGA